AAAACCGACCUUAUUACACAAUACCACACCACGACCAGCUCACUCUGCACACACGCAAUACCCCAAGCAGGCUCCAAACAGAUGCACAAUACUCUUUCCUGGUCCUUGUAAGAAAACACAUACUACAUUCCCUGAACACACACUCUCUACAAACACUACAUCACCUACACACACACACACACACACACACACACACUAUAGCCUGUAUACACACACUUGCUACAUCCCCUAAACACACAUUCUCUAAAGCCCCUAGCCACAUAUGCAUUACAUUACACCACAAACACAACACGACUAAAACCGACCUUAUUACACAAUACCACACCACGACCAGCUCACUCUGCACACACGCAAUACCCCAAGCAGGCUCCAAACACAUGCACAAUACUCUUUCCUGGCCCUUUUGUCUCCUGGUAUCCAUUUAUAGAGACACCAGAGACAAGUUGCAAG